ensembl:lncRNA
CACGGCCCCGCCGCUGUGGAACGUGUGGGGACGGAGCGGGACGGGGAGUAAACAAGCCUCUGGCCGCGCUCCCGAGCUUGGCCGGCUCCCCGCGGGAACGGGCAGUUCCACCCGGCGGUGUCCCGCCGCCCUUACGCUUCCCGUGCGCUGAGGGGAAAGUAAUAGUCCCACCUUUGCCGUUUCUUCUGUUUUGGCUGUCAGCCUCCUACUCCCUCCUACCAACCCGUGGCCACAGGGGAAACAAACCUCGUUCCAAAAUACGGCUCGGGUUCACAGACCGUGCCUUGUAUUGCACAAAUUCCUCGGCCACUCUCCGCGUGGAAAGCAGGAGCUAAAGAAAGCAAGCCACAUGAUGAUGUAAUGAAAGCCCAAGUCAUAGCACACGCCAAAUAGGUGUCUUCUUUACGAAUGAUUGGCUCUUGGAAUUAACUGGCCUUUGGAUUCUUAAGUCUGUGUGCUUUGUGUCCUCCAAAUGGUUUUAAAAGAAGCUAAUUUAGAAAUAGUUAAAAAUGCAGUUAUGAUCCUAAUGAUGGACGUCUUAUAGAAGCACAGAUCUUGCUGCAUGCUCCCUUUGUUGCCCAGAGAAGCUGUGGUGCCCCAUCCCUGGAGGUGCUCGAGGCCAGGUUGGAUGGGGCCCUGGGCAGCUGAGGUGGGGGUGGCAGCCCUGCCCACAGCAGGGAAGUUGGAACUGUAUGAUCUUUAAAGUCCCUUCCAACCCAAGGCACUCUGUGACCCUACGGUUUAUCUCUUUGACCGUGCACACCCAGGUCGAGCACAAAGAAAUGGUACACACACGUACAACGGCAGAAGAAUACAGAAAAACUAAAAGCCCAUAACAAAACUUAGUGCAGCUGUGUAAAAUGCAUAAGAAUUGUCAAAGCAAAGAGAACUUAUGGGCAGCUGGCAAAAAAUACCCAGGGAUCAAGUUUUAUUCUCCAUGAAAAGCCCCAAAGACAUCCUAAACAAUUUAAGAAGCAGAAGUUAACACCCAACAUCCUCCAGUGCCUCUGUCCCAAGGCUGUUCUCCAAAUCUUGCUGAGCUUUCUUACAGUAAGUCUGGCUUCACCCAGCACCAGCCAGACAGGAUGUUCUACUGAUGUUUCAGACCGGGCUCCUGCUGAGCAGUGUGAAGCACAGGGAUUGCAUCUCACUGUGCAAUUUUCUUUUUGUCACCUUGAAAGUGCUUCUGUAUGCAAGGCUGGAACAAGGGUCAGCAGAUGUUGUGGCCUCGUUUCAAGGAAUCUUCAACGCUUCUACUUUCUUCAUCUUCUAAGCCUUUAAGAACUCGUCAGCCGCUUGAUAAUUCAGCACACAGAGCACCACCCUUAAGGGAAGAAAGGUGUUUCAGAGCCUCCCUGAUUCAGACAAAC